rnacentral:rRNA from 1 species
UACGUAGGGUGCGAGCGUUGUCCGGAAUUAUUGGGCGUAAAGAGCUCGUAGGCGGUUCGUCGCGUCGAAUGUGAAAACCCGGGGCUCAACUCCGGGCCUGCAUUCGAUACGGGCGGACUAGAGUUCGGUAGGGGAGACUGGAAUUCCUGGUGUAGCGGUGAAAUGCGCAGAUAUCAGGAGGAACACCGGUGGCGAAGGCGGGUCGCUGGGCCGGACCUGACGCUGAGGCGCGAAGGCGUGGGGAGCGAACGGG